GUGCCAGCAGCCGCGGUAAGACGAACCGUGCAAACGUUGUUCGGAAUCACUGGGCUUAAAGGGCGCGUAGGCGGGCUUGACAGUCAGGGGUGAAAGCCCACGGCUCAACCGUGGAAGUGCCUUUGAUACUGCAAGUCUCGAGGGAGGUAGGGGCGUGCGGAACUUCCGGUGGAGCGGUGAAAUGCGUAGAUAUCGGAAGGAACACCGGUGGCGAAAGCGGCGCGCUGGACCUCUUCUGACGCUGAGGCGCGAAAGCCAGGGGAGCAAACGGGAUUAGAUACCCUGGUAGUCC
rnacentral:rRNA from 1 species